rnacentral:rRNA from 1 species
AUGGACCCUGGUGCGUGGGAUGAUUCGGAGAAACUUACGAAAGAGGACAACGAAGAGCUAACUAAGGAAUUUUCUGUGGAGGAGGUGAAAGAGGCUCUGUUUGCAAUGGAUACCAAUAGAGCACCUGGCCCGGACAAUAUUCCUGCAGAAUUCUACCAACAUUGUUGGGAUAUUGUCAAACAUGAUAUUAUGAGGAUUUUUAGGCACUUCCAUGAUGGGACGCUUGAUGUGCAGCGUCUCAACUACGGAGUGAUCACUCUUCUUCCUAAAGUUUCGGGCGCUGAACGAAUUCAACAGUUCCGACCCAUCUGCCUCCUUAGGUGCCCGUAUAAGUUGAUUACUAAGACUAUGGAUAGGAGAGUUGAAAAGUACGCUGAUAAGCUGAUUAGCCUUUCGCAAAAUGCCUUUGUGAAGGGUAGGAAUAUUAUGGAUGGUAUCAUGUCUCUUCAUGAGAUAUUGAACUACACCCAUGUCAAGAAAAGAAUUGGGGUGGUGCUGAAGUUAGACUUUGAGAAGGCUUACGAUAAAGUCAACUGGGAGUUUCUCUUGGAAUGUCAUAAGCUGAGAGGCUUCGAUAAAACUUGGUGUGGUUGGGUGAGACAAAUCCUAUACAAUGGUACGGUCGGCAUCAAGCUGAAUGGUUCUGUAGGACCAUACUUUCAGAAAGAGUGA